UCCGAUCAUUCGAGGCACUCGAUCACCCUCCUCGGCCUCUUCGUCGUCAUCGUCCGCGUCUCCCCUGUAACAAGAAACCGGGAGACGGUUACUUGAAUGCAAAGAUAAUACAUACUUCCAAUUACGGCGAUAAAUGCAGGUUUCAAUCUAUUUCAAAACAGCUUGAAACACGACCUGCCAUGGGAAAAUUGAACGAAUGGACAGAAGGUUUCGGAAUUUUGCAUCGAGAGUUGAAAAUAUUGCACUGCCAUUGACAUUUGAAUGCGAAUCAACCUCACAACAACUAUGAAAUAAUAAUCUCCACUAACCGAUCGAAAGCAGCAGGUGAAGUCUCCCGCCUCUUAUCAACGCCUCGUCUUCUGGAGCCGCGCGGGAGGGACG